rnacentral:rRNA from 1 species
AGUGAACGCUGGCGGUAGGCCUAACACAUGCAAGUCGAACGGCAGCACAGUAAUAGCUUGCUCUUACGGGUGGCGAGUGGCGGACGGGUGAGGAAUACAUCGGAAUCUACUUUUUCGUGGGGGAUAACGUAGGGAAACUUACGCUAAUACCGCAUACGACCUACGGGUGAAAGCAGGGGAUCUUCGGACCUUGCGCGAUUGAAUGAGCCGAUGUCGGAUUAGCUAGUUGGCGGGGUAAAGGCCCACCAAGGCGACGAUCCGUAGCUGGUCUGAGAGGAUGAUCAGCCACACUGGAACUGAGACACGGUCCAGACUCCUACGGGAGGCAGCAGUGGGGAAUAUUGGACAAUGGGCGAAAGCCUGAUCCAGCCAUACCGCGUGGGUGAAGAAGGCCUUCGGGUUGUAAAGCCCUUUUGUUGGGAAAGAAAAGCAGCAGGUUAAUACCCCGCUGUUCUGACGGUACCAAAAGAAUAAGCACCGGCUAACUUCGUG